GACGAACGCUGGCGGCGUGCUUAACACAUGCAAGUCGAACGGAAAGGCCCUGCUUUUGUGGGGUGCUCGAGUGGCGAACGGGUGAGUAACACGUGAGUAACCUGCCCUUGACUUUGGGAUAACUUCAGGAAACUGGGGCUAAUACCGGAUAGGAGCUCCUGCUGCAUGGUGGGGGUUGGAAAGUUUCGGCGGUUGGGGAUGGACUCGCGGCUUAUCAGCUUGUUGGUGGGGUAGUGGCUUACCAAGGCUUUGACGGGUAGCCGGCCUGAGAGGGUGACCGGGCACAUUGGGGGAGGGAGACGGCGCAGAGACCUCCGGGGGGGGGAGGAGGGGGAAAUUGCGCACAGGGGGGGAGCGUGUGGCGGAAAAGCGCCGUGGGGGGGAGGGGGCUUUGGGUUUUAAAACCCUUUUCCGCGUGAGAAAAGGGGGGGGAGGGGAAAGGGGGAAAAAACACCCGGGAAAUACGU
rnacentral:rRNA from 1 species